GACGAACGUUGGCGGCGUGCUUAAUACAUGCAAGUCCACUGAAGCAGUGGUAGCAAUAUCGCUGUGGAGGUGGCGCACGGGUGAGUAACACGUAGGUAAUCUGCCUUCAGGUCUGGCAUAACUCCGGGAAACCGGGGCUAAUAGCAGAUGAUGCAGCGGCUCGACAUCGAGACAGUUGUUAAAGCUAUGGCGCCUGAAGAUGAGCCUGCGUCUGAUUAGCUAGUUGGCGGGGUAACGGCCCACCAAGGCAACGAUCAGUAGCUGGUCUGAGAGGAUGAACAGCCACACUGGAACUGAGACACGGUCCAGACUCCUACGGGAGGCAGCAGUAAGGAAUAUUGCUCAAUGGGAGAAAUCCUGAAGCAGCAACGCCGCGUGAGGGACGAAGGGCUUUUGCUUGUAAACCUCUGUAGUGAGAGAAAAAAAUCCCAAUCUUUGGGACAUGAUGGUAUCUCAAAAGUAAGCCCCGGCUAACUACGUG
rnacentral:rRNA from 1 species